rnacentral:lncRNA from 1 species
GGGGUUUACAAUUUCAUCUAAUCCGCUCUAUCUUAUUUACUCCUCUUGAUUAAUUAACUUGAUUAUCUAAUUGUCAUGCAACUUUCUUGGCCUACCCUUAACCCGAUCCCUCGGCGAAAAGAACCUAUUACUAAUUACUGGCUUGCUAUCCCUAGCCUCCCCUAGCAAAUAAUAAUGCAUUAUAGAACAGAAGUGAUAAACAAUUGACCGCCCUACCCCUAUCCCUAGGUGGUAUUGCUUAAUCAAGGAAUUACUCACCAGUUCAUGACAGUACUGGAC